CAUUUUGUUGUCUAUGUAAGUUCGAGAUCACCUCAUGAGAAAUCACAUAGCAUGGAAGGUGUAAGGUUCUACUACCUCUAAUUGUAACUUUGAUUGGGUAUUAGCACAUAUCUUGGAGCAGCUCCCAUUGUUGAAUGUUUGGAAAAGCACCAACCUAAUGUAGUAAUAAAUUCUCGUGUUGCAGAUGCUACCUUAUUUUUGGCGCCAAUGAUAUAUGAACUGGGUUGGAACUGGGACAAUUUAGAACUUCUAGCACAGGGGUCUUUGGCUGGCCAUCUUCUGGAGUGUGGUUGUCAACUUACUGGGGGAUACUUCAUG